AUUGAACGCUGGCGGCAGGCCUAACACAUGCAAGUCGAACGAGUGGCGGACGGGUGAGUAAUGCCUGGGAAUCUAGCUUAUGGAGGGGGAUAACUACGGGAAACUGUGGCUAAUACCGCAUACUAUCGGAUGAACCCAUAUGGGAUUAGCUAGUUGGUGGGGUAACGGCUCACCUAGGCGACGAUCCCUAGCUGGUCUGAGAGGAUGAUCAGCCACACUGGAACGGAGACACGGCCCAGACUCCGACGGGAGGCAGCAGUGGGGAAUAGUGCACAAUGGGCGCAAGCCUGAUGCAGCCAUGCCGCGUGUAGGAAGAAGGCCUUCGGGUUGUAAAGUACUUUCAGCGGGGAGGCGGUACCGACAGAAGAAGCAACGGCUAACUCCGUGCCAGCAGCCGCGGUAAUUC
rnacentral:rRNA from 1 species